CGUGGGGAACCUGCCCCAUAGUCUGGGAUACCACUUGGAAACAGGUGCUAAUACCGGAUAAGAAAGCGGAUCGCAUGAUCAGCUUUUAAAAGGCGGCGUAAGCUGUCGCUAUGGGAUGGCCCCGCGGUGCAUUAGCUAGUUGGUAAGGUAAGGCUUACCAAGGCUAUGAUGCAUAGCCGAGUUGAGAGACUGAUCGGCCACAUUGGGACUGAGACACGGCCCAAACUCCUACGGGAGGCAGCAGCU
rnacentral:rRNA from 1 species